rnacentral:rRNA from 1 species
GACGAACGCUGGCGGCGUGCUUAACACAGGAAAGUCGUACGGUAGGGCCCUUCCGGGGGUACACGAGUGGCGACCGGGUGAGUAACACGUGAUUAACCUGCCCACAACUUGGGAAUAAAGCUAGGAAACUGUUGCAACAACUGGACAUCUCCUCCCGUUGCAUGGUGGGGGUUGGAAAGCUCCGGCGUUUGCGGAUGGACCCGCGGCCUAUCGCCUUGUUGGUGGGGUAGUGGCCUACCAAGGCGGCGACGGGUAGCCGGCCUGAGAGGGUGACGGGCCACAUUGGGACUGAGCUACGGCCCGGACUCCUACGGGGGGCAGCAGUGGGGAAUAUUGCACAAUGGGCGCAAGCCUGAUGCAGCAACGCCGCGUGCGGGAUGACGGCCUUCGGGUUGUAAACCGCUUUCAGCAGGGACGAAGCUUUUUGUGACGGUACCUGCAGAAGAAGCACCGGCUAACUACGUG